GACCCAUGCAGACAAACCCCAGCUCAGGAGGAGGAGCAAACACCUUGGUGCUUUCCAGCUGGAGAUGCUGGUGGCUGAAGCGAUGGCUCAAGGUGUGCACGUACAUUUACCACAACAGCCGCCUCUGGGAAAGAGGAAAGUGCUGCUGCCUUCGCUUACGUCAGCAUAACGAGGGAGGAAGCCAGGAGUCCUUGUGAGGAAACCCGACAGAGAAGUCCUCCCUUAGGAAGUGCCUGGGCUUCCCCUUGCUGCCAGGGCAGAUGGAGCUGCUGGGGAAAGGAAGCAAGUCCUCUGGUGAACCCCAGAGGUGGAGCCUUCCAUCACCCCGCUGGACACGCAGCAAGGACGAUGCAGCUGUGAUGGCCACAGCACAGAGGCUUGCUCACUAGCACAAGCCCUUUCCUUCCCUGGGCUAUUCUUGCUGGCAGCACUGCAGCGGGGACAAAACCUGACUGGGACAGCCCCUGCCGUGCCAAACGUCACCAGGCUGUCCCCAGCAGGAGCAGACCGCUCCCUUCUGGGGGUCUGUGCCCGUCCCUACAGAGCCCCGAUUCAUCCCAAGCAGCCCAGUGACCUUUAGUAGAGAUGAGGCCACGCCUGCGUGCAGAGGGAGGCUUUGUCUAAAAACCUGACAUCUUUGGCCAAAGCCAUCCCUCUCCCAAGGUCCUGCUCCCCACAGCCUGCGCACGGUGCAGACAGAGGUCACGGCCUCCCCUCAGCUCUCAGUCCUGCGGGACCGAUGCUUCUGGCUGAAAUCCCAUUACUCCAGA